CCUACGGGUCGCACCAGUGGGGAAUAUUGCACAAUGGGCGCAAGCCUGAUGCAGCCAUGCCGCGUGUGUGAAGAAGGCCUUCGGGUUGUAAAGCACUUUCAGCGGGGAGGAAGGCGAUAAGGUUAAUAACCUUGUCGAUUGACGUUACCCGCAGAAGAAGCACCGGCUAACUCCGUGCCAGCAGCCGCGGUAAUACGGAGGGUGCAAGCGUUAAUCGGAAUUACUGGGCGUAAAGCGCACGCAGGCGGUCUGCCAAGUCGGAUGUGAAAUCCCCGGGCUCAACCUGGGAACUGCAUUCGAAACUGGCAGGCUAGAGUCUUGUAGGGGGGGGUAGAAUUCCAGGUGUAGCGGUGAAAUGCGUAGAGAUCUGGAGGAAUACCGGUGGCGAAGGCGGCCCCCUGGACAAAGUCUGGCGCUCAGGUGCGAAAGCGUGGGGAGCAAACAGGAUUAGAUACCCGGGUAGUC
rnacentral:rRNA from 1 species